UUGCCCGAUUAACUCAGCUGGAGAGCGAGUCCUCUGUUUGUACAGAGAACAGAAGAAGCAUUGGUAGUGGCAAGGCCAACUUCCCAUAGCCCCCGCCAAUGUGCCUGAAGUGGAUGGACCACCUCUCAGGGGGAGAGGAGAGUUCAUUUUCCUUGCCCAUGCAGUCCUUGCCUCUG
ensembl:misc_RNA